rnacentral:rRNA from 1 species
GAUGAACGCUAGCGACAGGCUUAACACAUGCAAGUCGAGGGGCAGCAUAAAAGUAGCAAUACUUUGGUGGCGACCGGCGCACGGGUGAGUAACGCGUAUGCAACCUACCUAUCAGAGGGGAAUAACCCGGCGAAAGUCGGACUAAUACCGCAUAAAACAGGGGCACCGCAUGGUGAUAUUUGUUAAAGAAAUUCGCUGAUAGAUGGGCAUGCGUUCCAUUAGGUAGUUGGUGAGGUAACGGCUCACCAAGCCGACGAUGGAUAGGGGAACUGAGAGGUUGGUCCCCCANACUGGUACUGAGACACGGACCAGACUCCUACGGGAGGCAGCAGUGAGGAAUAUUGGUCAAUGGGCGAGAGCCUGAACCAGCCAAGUCGCGUGAAGGAAGAAGGAUCUAUGGUUCGUAAACUUCUUUUGCAGGGGAAUAAAGUGCGGGACGUGUCCUGUUUUGUAUGUACCCUGAGAAUAAGGAUCGGCUAACUCCGUGCCAGCAGCCGCGG